CCUAUGGGCUCUGGUCUAAAGUAGUGCACUAUAUAGGGAACAGGGUGCCGUUUGGGACUUAGCCUAGUCUCUCUGUCUGUUUGUCUGUCUCCGUCUGUCUGUCACACAGAUGGCUCAGAGCAGGAAGACAUUGUCGGCUGUGGCUCUUCUGAAUCAACAUUUGGAGUAAACAUCCUACAACAUCCUCCAAAUCUUCUUUCAAAAGAGGGAGAAUCGGGGACUCUAGAAUGUGCACACGAUGACGCAGAGUUCUAUAGAAUGUUCUGGUACAAACAGAACACCAACGGAAACAUGGAGCUGGUGGCUUAUUCUAUGGGGAAGAGUGUGGCGGACGUAGAGCCCAUCUUUGACAAGGCAAA